CUAAUACAUGCAAGUCGAGCGCGGGAAACUUUUCAGAUCUCUUCGGAGUGACGAAUUGUGGAACGAGCGGCGGAUGGGUGAGUAACACGUGGGCAACCUGCCUGUAAGAUCGGGAUAACUUGCGGAAACGUGAGCCAAUACCGGAUAAAGCUUCACAUCUCCUGAUGUGUUGAUGAAAGACGGCUCUGCUGUCACUUACAGAUGGGCCCGCGGCGCAUUAGCUAGUUGGUGGGGUAAAGGCCUACCAAGGCGACGAUGCGUAGCCGACCUGAGAGGGUGAUCGGCCACACUGGGACUGAGACGCGGCCCAGACUCCUACGGGAGGCAGCAGUAGGGAAUCUUCCGCAAUGGACGAAAGUCUGACGGAGCAACGCCGCGUGAGUGAUGAAGGUUUUCGGAUCGUAAAACUCUGUUGUCAGGGAAGAACAAGUUUGAGAGUAACUGCUCAGACCUUGACGGUACCUGACCAGAAAGCCACGGCUAACUACGUGCCAGCAGCCGCGGUAAUACGUAGGUGGCAAGCGUUGUCCGGAAUUAUUGGGCGUAAAGCGCUCGCAGGCGGUCUUUUAAGUCUGAUGUGAAAUCUUGCGGCUUAACCGUAAGCGGUCAUUGGAAACUGGAGGACUUGAGUACAGAAGAGGAGAGUGGAAUUCCACGUGUAGCGGUGAAAUGCGUAGAGAUGUGGAGGAACACCAGUGGCGAAGGCGAC
rnacentral:rRNA from 1 species